rnacentral:lncRNA from 1 species
GACUCCCAUUGGCUACUGUACGCAUCGGUGGCUCCUGAUUGGCUGCUGCGCCUGGUUGUCAAGGCUCCGGGGCUUCAUUCACCAUUUUGGCCUGUAGUGUAGAAUGUGCAGGAGUUUCUGCACCGGCCUCCCUGCCCUGCUUCACCCGGCCAACUCCGCGGGGGACGGACACCGGGGAACGACGCGAGUCUCUAAGAAAAGGUGGGCAAGUACAAAAACAAAGAAAAGGAGGAAUGAGUGUAAGAGGCCCCGGCAGAAGAGCAAAGUAGACAAAAAGGGCAGAAAGAGGAGGCAGCAGAAUUCAAACAAGGAGUGGGAAGAAAGAGGAACACCAAGGAGAGUCUCUGAAGUGUCUGAAUCAAAGGAGUCUUUGGAGAAAAAGUAAUCUGCAUGACAAGAUGAAGCCGUUGAAAAAGCAGGGCCGGCGCGCCCCGCCCUCCACACGGGCUAAAGGAGGAAGCGGCGUGGAGCGGGAGAAAGUUGCAGAUGGAGGGGAGAAAAGAGACUCGUAGAUAACAGGGACACAGGAGCAGAUCUCCUCAAAACUUCUCGUCGGCUCGCACCUCAGAGUCCUCUUCAGGCAGAGCCAAUCAGAGCGCAGGAGGCUUCAAGAGGGAGAGGGCGAGCAGACAGUGUCGCUUCUGAUGGACUCUGGGAAGCUGCUGUCGUCCGAUGACAGAUCUGCGAGAUUAGCUGUGAGCGCCGACAGUGGCGGAAAGCAGUUGUAGUACGAUGUAGUAGACACGAGCGCCACAGGCAGCCCCAACCCUGCGUUCCAGUCGUAAAAAACUGGCCACAUUCAAAGCCGCGUUCCCAAGGAAGAAGUAAAUCUCUGAGCAUUGCUCGUCGUCUGCAGCUGGUAAACCAUAGCACUACCUGCGUCCUGUACACCUCCCUCCUCCUACUCUUCUCUAUGCAGGCAGCGUCCUCAAAUCAGGGGCCACAGGUGCAGGGACUGACAUCAGCAUCUCGCAUUCUGAUGGCAGCAGGUCGUGAAAGAAGCCUGAUGGACGACAUCCAAGGCAGGACAGCUCGAAGAAGACCUCUCCGGGACCCCCCACCCUGUCACUGGGAGGGGAGGGUGAAAGG